UAUUCAAGAUGGUCUAAUUGACCUUUUUUUUUUUCAUUUUCUUUUUUUUCAUUUACAGAGAGAAAAACUGGUGUCUUACAUUCUACUGCAGCAGGUCCGUUCACAGGAUCCCGUCUACAGACAGAAGCUCGGUGACCUCUUGCUGAUUCUAUCCGAUUACCCUGACUUCAGCAUGGGUCGCUUCUUCGUCAUAGCCAGAGCCAGACUUGUCGAUAUAUCGAGCUUCAUCGCCAUGUACGUGGUGAUUCUACACCAGUUCCGGACCAGUGAGACCGGGGACGGAAAAACAGAUUCUGAGAAUCCUGCGAAUGCAACAGAAUCCUCCUACUGAAAGUCUGGCACUGAGAAACAAUCUGAAGUCUAGAAAGGGAUUAACUCGGUUAUGUAUCCACCUCACCUCCGAGGUGCUAGUACCAAGGCUUUGGCUAUAGUAGAUUCACAUCAACCUUACAUUUGACGUCUAGGCCAGUCCUCUACGACA